rnacentral:tRNA from 1 species
CGCCGUGCUGCUGUCGGACACCGCGGUGCCCUCCUGGCACGAGGGCUACCGGGAGCUGCCGUUCGUCUUCGCCGGUUCGGCGGCGACCGCGGCGGC